rnacentral:rRNA from 1 species
UACGUAGGGUGCAAGCGUUGUCCGGAAUUAUUGGGCGUAAAGAGCUCGUAGGCGGUUUGUCGCGUCUGCUGUGAAAACCCGAGGCUCAACCUCGGGCCUGCAGUGGGUACGGGCAGACUAGAGUGCGGUAGGGGGAGAUUGGAAUUCCUGGUGUAGCGGUGGAAUGCGCAGAUAUCAGGAGGAACACCAAUGGCGAAGGCAGAUCUCUGGGCCGUAAACUGACGCUGAGGAGCGAAAGCAUGGGGAGCGAACAGG